AAUUCAGAGAUGUUAAGACUAUCUAAUGUAGAGGUAAGAGUAUCGUAAUGAGAGGUAAGCAGGAGGCUAGAAGGCUAAUGUAGAGGUAAGAGUAUCUAAUGUAGUGGUAAGAGUAUCUGAUGUAGCGGUAAGAGUAUCUAAUGUAGAGGUAAGAGUAUCUAAUGUAGUGGUAAGAGUAUCUAAUGUAGUGGUAAGAAUCUAGUGUAGAGGUAAGAUAUCUAAUGUAUAGUCGUGUAUCUAUGUAGAGUAAGAGUUCUAAUGUAGAGGUAAGAGUAUCUAAUGUAGUA
rnacentral:lncRNA from 1 species